rnacentral:rRNA from 1 species
AGGAUCAUUAAAAGUAAUAUAUAUUCAUUUGAAUAUACAUUUCAAACCCCCUUGUCUAAACCACCUGUUGCUUCCGGCUGUUUGGGCUGUACAGUUAGCUGAAUAGCCUGGCCGGAAGGUUAACAUAAAAUAUUGUAUUUAGAGUCUUCUGAAUUUUUAAAAUAAAAGUUAAAACUUUCAACAACGGAUCUCUUGGUUCUCGCAUCGAUGAAGAACGCAGCGAAAUGCGAUAAGUAGUGUGAAUUGCAGAAUUCAGUGAAUCAUCGAAUCUUUGAACGCACAUUGCGCCUUCCGGUAUUCCGGGAGGCAUGCCUGUCCGAGCGUCAUCAAAAACCACUCAAGUAGUUUUGCUUGGUCAUGAAAGAAGAGUUUGCUUGCAAAUUCCCUUUCGAAAUUCAAUGGCGGAGAGUCUCAUGAUUCCGGCGUAGUAAUAACUUAUUCGCUUGGUCAUUGUAAUAAUCCUGCCUCAAACCCCCAAUUCUAGUGUUUGACCUCGGAUCAGGUAGGGAUACCCGCUGAACUUAAGCAUAUCAAUAAGCGGAGGAAAAGAAACCAACAGGGAUUGCCUUAGUAACUGCGAGUGAAGCGGCAAAAGCUCAAAUUUGAAAUCUGGUACCUUCGGUGCCCGAAUUGUAAUUUGGAGGCAUAUCUUCGGGGCUGGCGCUGUCCUAAGUUCCUUGGAACAGGACGUCAUAGAGGGUGAGAAUCCCGUGCCUGGAUG